rnacentral:rRNA from 1 species
GACGAACGCUGGCGGCGUGCUUAACACAUGCAAGUCGAACGGUAAGGCUCCAGCUUGCUGGGGUACACGAGUGGCGAACGGGUGAGUAACACGUGGGUGACCUGCCCUGCACUUCGGGAUAAGCCUGGGAAACUGGGUCUAAUACCGGAUAGGACCAUGGUGUGGAUACUGUGGUGGAAAGUUUUUUCGGUGUGGGAUGGGCCCGCGGCCUAUCAGCUUGUUGGUGGGGUAAUGGCCUACAAGGCGGCGACGGGUAGCCGGCCUGAGAGGGUGGACGGCCACAUUGGGACUGAGACACGGCCCAGACUCCUACGGGAGGCAGCAGUGGGGAAUAUUGCACAAUGGGCGGAAGCCUGAUGCAGCGACGCCGCGUGGGGGAUGACGGCCUUCGGGUUGUAAACUCCUUUCACCAUCGACGAAGGGUUUCUGACGGUAGAUGGAGAAGAAGCACCGGCUAACUACGUG